UACGGAGGGGACUAGCGUUGUUCGGAAUUACUGGGCGUAAAGCGCACGUAGGCGGAUUUGUGAAGUACAGGGUGAAUCCCGGGCUCAACCUCGGAACUGCCUUUGAUACUGCAAUCUCGAGUCCGGAAGAGGUGAGUGGAAUUCCUAGUGUAGAGGUGAAAUUCGUAGAUAUUAGGAAGAACACCAGUGGCGAAGGCGACUCGCUGGACCGGUCCUGACGCUCAGGCGCGAAAGCGUGGGGAGCGAGUCCGG
rnacentral:rRNA from 1 species